CCUUUGUAUGAAGAGUAUUAGUAAAAGCCAUUGAGAAGAUACUGUAGAUUGCCUGUUGUCUUGACCUUCAUCAAGCCUGUGUACAUGUCAGAACCGGCGCCAGACACAAAUUCACGGACGGGCAUUACAUUUUUUUCAGGGGGGCACAACUGAGAUAAACCUAAUUCCCUAAUUGCAUAAUAACAUUAAAUGAUAUGACCGAUUAUGAAUUGAAUAUGUAUGAUACAAUGACAAUGAUCGAUAGUAGCCUGUUACAUAAUGUACUGACGCUAUUCAAAUUCAUAACUGACGCUAAAGAUUUGUGCUGUUUAGGCUUGCGCAGCCUCUCGAUGAAACAAACAGGCCUAACUGCAGCUCACACAAAGAAACUCAGUUAGCAUACUGCGGUAAAAAAUUUAAAAUGUGUAAGUUAGUUUUUAUAUUUAUAACAUGAAGCAACACCAUACAACCAAGUGCUGAAUACCAUCACGAUUGAAAAUGUAACACUGAUUUCGACAGUUCAAUAAACAAGUAAUUCAUAUUAAGUCACUUACAUUUUAGAUGCAAUAUUGACUUUUUGUUCUAUUUUAAAACAAAGAUCCCAGCAGAAACAGAACGCAUCUCACAGUCAACCGCCUGCCACCUGUGGCCGUGACGUCCCUUGCUUGAGGCUAUGGCUUUGGCAAGUAACGUUAGACCAACUAGUAUUGCUGGAAUGGGUAGCCUCUGCAGUGUUGGGAGUUGGAUCGACCUCUUGUGAACUGCUACACCCUACGUCUUCUCCCCUUACCUCGCUGCUCUCUUCUGCCAACUUUGGUGGUCUUUGAUUAAAGAAACGCCGUAUAUCCAUGGUAACUGUCACACGAAAUAUCUCAGCAUAGUUGUUUAAAAAAAAAUAACAGCUAUCGUUAUUAAGCGCUACUAUGCUUAGUACACAAACAAAUAUUCCAGCGCUCACUAUCGACAAACCAAUCAAAUCCAUUUAAAAAUAUUAUUUUUUAAAUCAGACCAAACACAUUUUUAUUUUUAUUCAGGAGUUUAUUCAUCAUGUAUAUACAAAACGACAACAGUAAGUUACAGUAGCCUAUUGAUAAAAAAAUAUAAAUAAAAGUGCAAACAAGCAAGGACUGGUGGUUGGUCGACUCCAGCGGGACUACUAACAUUUACGACUAGAUUUGAUGGUCGAGUGCGGGCACAGGCGGUAAUGGGUUGCGGGAGAAUAAAACGAUUCGUGGGACUCCCUAUCUAAAUAAAACAUCCAAAAACAAAUACAUUGUUAUUCAUCUAUUGCACAAAAGCAAUAAGAACAUCUAAACAAAAUAACGAUUUACAGUCGCAAGCAUAAGUAGAUGUUCUCAUUAGCCUAUAACGUGUUUUUGCAGCGUUGUGCAAUGUAGCCAAUCACAGACAUAUGUGUUGAUUUCUAAAACGCAAUGGCCAAUCAGAUGCAUUUCAGACAAAAUCCACUCACCGCUCAAAAUGUUGGAGUUUUUGUUCAGUGCUGAAUUCUGCAUGCUACAUAAUAAAAGAGCUUUGUGAGAUCCCGAUGAAAUGAGAUGUGAGACGUGACGUAGAGUUGAUGAAGGGAGACAGGAUCAUCCAGGGCAGGCACUAGUGACUCACAGGGCGGGCCAGGCCCCCCAAUGCCCGCCCAUGGCGCCGGGACUGGUACAUGUGUGUGUGUGUGCGUGUGUGUGUGUGUGUACUUGUGUGUGUGCGUUUUUUAGUAUGCCUGUACAGUAUGUGAUUGAGGAGAAGGACUUCAGAGACCUUUCCCUGAAAAUAACACCUCCAGUGUUCAUACCCCGUCCUGAGAUAGAGGUGACAAACGCACUCAAAUCCACACACUCAAAAAGUGACCUACUUAGCACUUGUCAGAAUUUUGCAACAAAUUGAGAACGGACUACAAAUGGAUGGCACUUUUUGCAUAAACACUGUUUAAAAACAUAAAUUUCUGUUUGGACACUCCGAUUGUAGUAUACUGUAUAUGCGGUGAGUGUGUUUGUGUUUUGCAGGAGCUGGUUAGUCUGUUUCUAGAAGACCUCAAGUUGAGAUGGGGGGAAAUGUACAGGACUGAAUUACAAUGUCUAGAGAUGGGAUAUGGAUCUGGGGCCAUCUCUCUCAGUUUACUACACUGCAUUCCACAGCUCAGGGUAUUUGCUUUGGACCAGAGCCAGACAGCAGUAUGUCUAACAAUGGAAAAUGCAAGCAGACUGGGUCUACAGGACAGAGUAGAUGUCUGACAUUUAGACGUGAUUAACGG